GACGAACGCUGGCGGCGUGCUUAACACAUGCAAGUCGAGCGGUAAGGCCCCUUCGGGGGUACACGAGCGGCGCACGGGUGCGUAACACGUGAGCAAUCUGCCCAUCACAUCGGGAUAACCCCGGGAAACCGAAGCUAAUACCGAAUACGACCACCUCCGGCAUCGGAUGGUGGUGGAAAGUUCCGGCGGUGAUGGAUGAGCUCGCGGCCUAUCAGCUUGUUGGUGGGGUAACGGCCCACCAAGGCUUCGACGGGUAGCCGGCCUGAGAGGGUGACCGGCCACACUGGGACUGAGACACGGCCCAGACUCCUACGGGAGGCAGCAGUGGGGAAUAUUGGACAAUGGGCGAAAGCCUGAUCCAGCAACGCCGCGUGAGGGAUGACGGCCUUCGGGUUGUAAACCUCUUUCAGCAGGGACGAAGCGCAAGUGACGGUACCUGCAGAAGAAGCACCGGCCAACUACGUG
rnacentral:rRNA from 1 species